AAUGAACGUUGGCGGCGUGGAUUAGGCAUGCAAGUCGUGCGCGAAUCGUAGCAAUACGAGGAGAGCGGCGAAAGGGAGAGGAUAGCAUAGAUACCUACCCUCGGACCUGGGAUAGCUAUGGGAAACUAUAGGUAAUACCAGAUAAUGUCUCCGGACCAAAGGUGUGAUUCCGUCCGGGGAGGGGUCUAUGUCCUAUUAGCUUGAUGGUGAGGUAACGGCUCACCAAGGCAAAGAUGGGUACGAGGCGUGAGAGCGUGUCCUCGCUCACUGGGACUGAGACACUGCCCAGACACCUACGGGUGGCUGCAGUCGAGAAUCUUCGGCAAUGGGCGCAAGCCUGACCGAGCGACGCCGCGUGUGGGAUGAAGGCCUUCGGGUUGUAAACCACUGUCAGUGCGGAGGAAAUAUAGUGGGGUUCUCCCCAUUAUUUGACCUAUGCGCAGAGGAAGGACGGGCUAAGUUCGUGCCAGCCGCCGCCGUAA
rnacentral:rRNA from 1 species